rnacentral:lncRNA from 1 species
UCCGAUUGCGGGAGGGAAGCAGGGCUAUAGAAAUCAGUUCAGAAAAGGACUGAUUGAUAGACUUAACUUUACGGAGAAGAAAGGAAUAUUCACAGCAUUCAUCACUUCUAUAUUUUACUAUGAUUUUUCGAGCGUGUAUAGAGCCUAUCUAGCUCUAUUUCCUAGUUUCUCCUUUAAGUUGUGAGGAUUGAGUUUGCUUUGAUUCUGGUUCAGGGCAAGGGCUACUUUCUUGAGUUCGUAUAAGCAUGGAUCUAAUCUUACCUGGAUUGGUUAUCGAGAUGAGAAGACUCGCACUUUAAAGCGGGUAACGUAAAUAAUAGUCCAAGUAGAGAUGCGAGGCCGGGUCUUAUACCAGUAGCUUCAACGCAGUAGGUUGUUUUGACUAGGCCUUUAGUUGUCAACUCGACUCCAACCCGAUCUAGAAGAGGAUUUCUUUUUUGCGAACUCAUAACUUAGCUAAAUGGGGAGAACGAAGAGGCGUGGGAAAUUGGGGGACGGACUCCUCAAUACCGGAUGAAGUUGGCUUACUUAAGUCCUUGGAGAUUUCCCCGCGGUAGAAGAAUCUAUCUUAAGGAUAUCGUCGGCAUCACAACGAAGACACACAUUCCGCACUACUUGCUCAUCCCAUGACUUCCCAUCACCUUUCCAUAGAUCCCUCACAAUCGAGUUAGGCCGAUUAGGGAAUUUCUCUCUCUUCGAACCUUGGGAUCCAGUAGUCCACCCAAACUUGCUGUGCUUAAACCAUCUCCAAUGCGCCAGAUCAGACCCGCCGAAAGAGUUUCCCUUGCAGCACAAACACCCUCCUCCAUGUGAUCGAAGCCUGAGGCGGAACCUUUGCCCUUAGACAAUCUCUAUUCGAGUAGUCGCGUCCUUGAAGCACCUGAGCACAUAGAAAAUCAACGGCAGUCAACAGACUUCAUCUCAACUGAGUGUGCCAGUCCCACGUUCUCCAGUGGAGUCGAUAUGUGUGAGUUGAGUCUAGCAGGGGCAGGGGAGUGAGAAUAGUCGACAGUUGAAUAGCUUGGCCAGAGAAAGAGGGAAUGAAUUAUCGGUCUCGUUCUGGAUCUCUUUCCUUGCGCCCUAGUCCAUUCCAUCUAUCUUGACUGCAACUUGGAUUCUUUCUUGACUGCUAUUUGGAUUGGUAGUCCGUCAAAUCUCU